AAGAGGUCACUAAAGACACACUUCAAAUACGUACAGGUUUGUAGGGUUGCGGCUUCGGAGAGCAGUAGAGGCCGGUUCUCUGGAUACAUUCAAGAGAGAACUAGAUAGGGCUUUUAAAGAUAGCGGAGUCAGGGGAUUUGGGGUGAAGGCAGGAACGGGGUACUGAUUGGGGAUGAUCAGCCAUGAUCACAUUGAAUGGUGGUGCUGGCCCGAAGGGCCGAAUGGCCUACUCCAUCACCUAUUGUCUACUGUCUAUUGUCUCAAUUACACGUUGCACCUGCCCGUGUUUGGUCCAUAUCCCACCAAAGCUGUUUCAGGUGAUCAUUGGCCAACCUAUCCGCACUGACCAAUGAUCACCUGUACACUAGUUCUAUGUCCUACACACGAGAGGGCAAUUUAGAGUCGCCAUUUAACUUGCUAGCCUUUGGAAUAUGUGAGGAAAACAGAGCACGUGGAGAAAUCCCACAAACUGUACAUUCAUUUGAUCCAACAAACCCACAACGUUUUUGAAUAAUCCUACCUGCAUAUACUCCCUGUCAGACACAUUAUACCCCACAGCCAACAACGGACCAUUGUGGGCUCCAAUUUUUCUUUAUCAUCAUUACUUUAUACAUAUCUUUGUUUCAUUUAUUCUAUAUAUCUCUUAUAACCAUCUAUAUCUUUCGUUUCCCUGUCCCCUGACUCUCAGUCUGAAGAAGGGUUUCGAUCCGAAACGUCGCAUAUUCCUUUUCUCCAGAGAUGCUGCCUGGCCCGCUGAAUUACUCCAGCUGUUUGUGUCUAUUUUCCGUAAACCGCCCAAGCCUGUUUUAUAAUGUUUUAUGUGAAAGAUUGUUCAUUCUUUUUGCUAUAAAGUAGACUUUGGUUUCAGGACAAUGCUGCAUGUGUGAAGCACAAUGUGUCCUCUUCAUUUUGGUGAGCAGAGUUAAAUCUAAAUCUAUCGAAUUAUCAGCUCUGUCCAAGGGCGUCAGCUGCGAUUGAAGAUUCGUCUGAAAACGCUGGGGUUAGUCCACAAAGUGGGUAUGCGUUUCACGCACAGUAUAUUUUGGUAAAGCUUUACAAGUUCAUUACUCCAACCUCACCUCCCCUCCCCUCCCCAUCGCCCAAUCACUUCAAUUUGGGUUGGUAUCUGCUGAGCUCAGCUCAAGGGUUGCAAAAGGUUUUGUGGUGCUGCCGGUGUUCUGUGUCUUUUAUUCAUCGGGUUUGCAUCAAGAGCUGAGGUCCCACGAUGAUGAACAGAAUCUGGAUCUGCGCCUUCAUUUGCUGCAUCGUGGCUUUUGUGAGCGUUUUGGGAGCCAAGGGCCCAACAGACUUCCAAUUUGCCGAUGAGAGUGCUGUCGAAACUGCCGGAGCUGCAGGAUUUACCCCAGCCAUUGCCAAGGUCCUGAUUCUGUCCCUUAUUCCAGUCUUCCUGCAGAGAGUUCUGUCUUAAUUCAGUGCUCGAGGUGGCCACUUCCAGCUGAUUCAUCCAUCACCAUGGAGACCAUCCUGCUCUGCUCGCAUUCAAUCUCCAACUUUGAGUUCUCAGGAAUCGCCUUUGAAAUGUGUCGCGUAAUCUCUGCGCAACCCGUCGACCACCGACUGAGAUCUGCUUCCCAUUCUUCACUCCCUCUCUCUCGCAGCCUAGCCUCCAACGUAUUUCCUGAAAUUAAUUUUGCCUGUGAAACAGCUGGAAUCCACAACUUCACUGUUAUCAAGGUCGGAGAAAAAAAUAAUUGAAAGAUAACUAAAGUAUUGCAGGUCAUGAAACUGGAUGCCCUGCUGGAAGUUUAACAUGUUCUCUUUUCAUAUUUUACUAUUUCUAUUGUUUCCGUGAGAUAUGUUGGCAUUUCACUUAAAGCCAUGUAAAAUUAGAGAGCAAUAAAAAAAAUUAUACUGUGCCGAUAAA